rnacentral:rRNA from 1 species
AACGCGAAAGGGGCUUCGGCCCUGAGUAGAGUGGCGAACGGGUGAGUAACACGUGGGUGAUCUACCUCUGAGUGGGGGAUAACGUUCCGAAAGGAGCGCUAAUACCGCAUGACGUUCCGGGUUUGAAGACCUGGAAACCAAAGUCGGGGCCCUUAGGGAAACUUAAGGCCUGGCGCUUGGAGAGGAGCCCGCGCCUGAUUAGCUAGUUGGUGAGGUAAUGGCUCACCAAGGCGACGAUCAGUAGCCGGCCUGAGAGGGCGGACGGCCACACUGGGACUGAGACACGGCCCAGACUCCUACGGGAGGCAGCAGUGGGGAAUUGUUCGCAAUGGGCGCAAGCCUGACGACGCAACGCCGCGUGGAGGAUGAAGGUCUUCGGAUUGUAAACUCCUGUUGACCGGGAAGAAUGGGUCCUGACCGAACACGUCGGGGCAGUGACGGUACCGGUUGAGGAAGCCACGGCUAACUCUGUGCCAGCAGCCGCGGUAAUACAGAGGUGGCAAGCGUUGUUCGGAAUUACUGGGCGUAAAGGGCGCGUAGGCGGCCUGCUAAGUCGGACGUGAAAUCCCCAGGCUUAACUUGGGAACUGCGUCUGAUACUGGAAGGCUCGAGUGCGGGAGAGGGAUGUGGAAUUCCAGGUGUAGCGGUGAAAUGCGUAGAUAUCUGGAGGAACACCGGUGGCGAAGGCGGCAUCCUGGACCGACACUGACGCUGAGGUGCGAAAGCCAGGGGAGCAAACGGGAUUAGAUACCCCGGUAGUCCUGGCCCUAAACGAUGAGUGCUUGGUGUGGCGGGUAUCGAUCCCUGCCGUGCCGAAGCUAACGCAUUAAGCACUCCGCCUGGGGAGUACGGCCGCAAGGCUGAAACUCAAGGAAUUGACGGG